GAUGAACGCUGGCGGCGUGCCUAAUACAUGCAAGUCGAGCGAACGGACGAGAAGCUUGCUUCUCUGAUGUUAGCGGCGGACGGGUGAGUAACACGUGGAUAACCUACCUAUAAGACUGGGAUAACUUCGGGAAACCGGAGCUAAUACCGGAUAAUAUUUUGUACCGCAUGGUUCAAAAGUGAAAGACGGUCUUGCUGUCACUUAUAGAUGGACUCACGCUGCAUUAGCUGGUUGGUAAGGUAACGGCUUACCAAGGCAACGAUGCAUAGCCGACCUGAGUGGGUGAUCGGCCACACGGGAACGGAGACACGGUCCAGACUCCUACGGGAGGAAGCAGUAGGGAAUCUUCCGCAAUGGGGGAAAGCCGGACGGAGCAACGCCGCGUGAGUGAUGAAGGUCUUCGGAUCGUAAAACUCUGUUAUUAGGGAGGAAGAGAUGUGUAGGUAACUGUGCACAUCUUGACGGUACCUAAUCAGAAAGCCACGGCUAACUACGUG
rnacentral:rRNA from 1 species